rnacentral:lncRNA from 1 species
UUUCUAAUAUCUCAUUUUAUUUUAAAUUUAUCUGCCAAGUUAGGCCAUAGUUGUUUUCCUCAUUUUACAGAUGGAAGAAAUAAAGUACAUGGUGGGAAGACUCUGGAUCAGGAAACAUGAAUUCAAGUCCCCAUUUAUCUAAAGUUGAAUCCUCAGUAGUUGCAGAAGUGAAUCCUUCUAACUCUGAAUGGUAUUGGUGAAUUGUCUUAGUGUGGAAACC